UACGUAGGGGGCAAGCGUUGUCCGGAAUCAUGGGGCGUAAAGAGCGUGUAGGCGGUUCGGUAAGUCGGCUGUGAAAGUCCAGGGCUCAACCCUGGGAUGCCGGUCGAUACUGCCGGACUAGAGUUCGGAAGAGGCGAGUGGAAUUCCCGGUGUAGCGGUGAAAUGCGCAGAUAUCGGGAGGAACACCUAUGGCGAAGGCAGCUCGCUGGGACGUUACUGACGCUGAUGCGCGAAAGCCAGGGGAGCGAACGGG
rnacentral:rRNA from 1 species